ACCAGGUGUGGUGGCUCAUGCCUGUAAUCCCAGUGACUAGGGAGGCUGAGGCAGGAGGAUAGCAAGUUCCAGACUAGCCUUGAUAACUUAGAGAGAUCCUGUCUCAA
rnacentral:sRNA from 1 species